rnacentral:tRNA from 1 species
GGGAAUAGCUCAGUGGUAGAGCACAACCUUGCCAAGGUUGGGGUCGCGGGUUCGAACCCCGUUUCCC